rnacentral:lncRNA from 1 species
CUGUCCUGGAAGGGGAGGGAGGGAAGGGAGACAGACGGGCAGGACAGAGAGCUCAGGAGCCCUGGGCUGUAAGCCUUACUUGAAGGAGAAGAGCUGUUGGGCAGGCUGUAAAGAUUGAGCCUUCAUGAAAUGGAGCAUCCUUGAAGCUAUGGUUCCUCACUGCUGUCAGUUACAGUUCUUCUCCCGUAAAACUUCCUUCUCCUAAUCGGCUGCGGAUUUGGGAAGCAACCCCUCCACUCUGUCAGAGCUGCGUGGAGAGUAAGCGUGACAGGCUCCUGAGCCAGCGGUCUCGUGAGUCAAGGGCAGGAGGUUCAGAGGAGGCAGCUGCUUCCUCGCUCCUGGUCUUGGCCGUGAACGCAGGUGAUGUGCGGCCGGGGCACGUGGUCUUAACUCAAGGUCACGCCUUCCUCAAGGGCUCUUGCAGUCAUACCCUCCACUCCGUUGCUCCACCCCAGCCUCCCCUUGCCCUCCGUCACCUGGCGUUCUGCAGCAGCCCCCUGGCUGGACAUCUCACCCACUGAUGGACCCUCCCAGUCCGUCCUCGCAAUACACUGUCAGCCAUUUUCCAGAAGACAGAUCUGAUCACCUUCCUUCGAUGCUUGAAACCCUUUGCUGUCUCUGCAGAGCCUCAGAAUCAAGCCCACUCUCUGGCUCAGUACACUGCUCCCCAAGGUCCCCCUGUGGGGACCCCUCUAGCCUCUCCUUCCAGCAACCCUGCUCCCAUGCCCUUCGCUGUGGCUACAAGGAACCAACAUGGGAUGCUGCAUUCUCUGGCUUCACGCUUAUUCAAGUGGCUCCUCCACCACUACCUCAUGGGCUGUGGGGAUGGUUUAAGUCAGAGAUUCUGGAGCCUAACCACCUGGGCGCAGAUCCCAGCCCUGCCCCUUCAUCGCCGUGUGACCUUGGGCAAGUCACCUGACGCGGUUCCCCCACAUGAAAAAUGCGACUGA